rnacentral:rRNA from 1 species
UGGGGAAUUUUGGACAAUGGGCGCAAGCCUGAUCCAGCCAUGCCGCGUGCAGGAUGAAGGCCUUCGGGUUGUAAACUGCUUUUGUACGGAACGAAAAGGUGCCUUCUAAUAAAGGGCGCUCAUGACGGUACCGUAAGAAUAAGCACCGGCUAACUACGUGCCAGCAGCCGCGGUAAUACGUAGGGUGCGAGCGUUAAUCGGAAUUACUGGGCGUAAAGCGUGCGCAGGCGGUUUUGUAAGACAGAGGUGAAAUCCCCGGGCUCAACCUGGGAACUGCCUUUGUGACUGCAAGGCUGGAGUGCGGCAGAGGGGGAUGGAAUUCCGCGUGUAGCAGUGAAAUGCGUAGAUAUGCGGAGGAACACCGAUGGCGAAGGCAAUCCCCUGGGCCUGCACUGACGCUCAUGCACGAAAGCGUGGGGAGCAAACAG